UUUCCGUAGGUGAACCUGCGGAAGGAUCAUUCAUAAUAAAGUGUUUUAUGGCACUUUUUAAAAAUCCAUAUCCACCUUGUGUGCAAUGUUAGAUCUCGUCAAUCUUGGCGAGAUUUUUAUACAUCAACUCAUUCUUUAACUAAUUUGUUUGAAAAAUAUUAUGAAUACUUAAUUUAAAAUACAACUUUCAACAACGGAUCUCUUGGCUCUC
rnacentral:misc_RNA from 1 species